GAGCAAAAUGGCGCCCUCCUUAUAAUUCACUUCUGCUCAAGAUGGUGGCGCCGUGUAGUGCACGGUGGGAUGUAAAAUAAGAAGACCUCACGGUCUCCUCCGCCGCGCAACAUAAUUCGGCAACACCUUACAAAUACAUUCCGAAACCAACACGCCCGAAUAUUUAAAAAAGGCUCCUCACGGUUGGGGCAUGAGGUCUAAGAAGCGGAAGAGAGAAAGUGCACGCCCCAUUCCCGUAAGGAUCGCCUAGCGUCUUCACUCUCCCUACGUGGCUCAGCGCGAACCCGGCCCUUUCCGCUUUGUGGCUUGGAGGGCAGCGGAGAGGGAGCGUAAUUUCGUGGGCGCAACUGGAGCCCCCAGGACCCACACAGCUGGAAACAGCCCCUUAGGCUUCUUGCCAGAGGCCCGUGAUCUCCGGGAGCAGAGGCCUCCAUCCCCUCCUGCCAGCAUUCAAGAGCUGCGUCACACUCCCUCGGCAGAAGUUAUGCCCGCAGCCGAUGGAUACGGGAUCCUUGGAGUGAUCCAGGCAGAUGGCACACACCGCUUCCUCCUGAAGGGUCUGCGAGGCGUUGGGAGCAGCGGCAUAGCCAGCCAUCUUAACGCGCUGCCGGUUGGUAUGGAUGCGUCCGCUCACAGCUGAGACGCGGGGGACACACCUGCAGGCCUGCCUCCAAGCGACGCUGGUGAUCCAAAGCUGUCCCCAACCCUGCUCUGCCUACUCGGGCCCUCAGAGAAGCCUUGCGCCCCUCUCUGACUCUCCCCAGCUUUAAGCGCGAAAGCCCCAGGCCCGAACUCACAGCUGCCCUCGGAAGGCAGCGGGGGCGGAACCAGGCUGCGGCCCCCACCUCCCUUUGAGACUCAGCGUGCAAACUCGGAUCCCUUCACGUUUCUCGCCUCCCUCCCGGUUUGCCUGACCUGGCAGCUUCCGCUUCAGAAGCCGGCGCUCCUCACCCCGCCAGAGGUGACCGAAAAUGACGCAAGCACGUUAAUCCACACUCGGGAGGGGGCGCACUGGGCGGACGGAGGGCCACCUCUCUAUGGUUUCCCCCGGAAACCGGAGACGCGACCCCCGGAAACCCCUGCAGCCUAUCCAGCUGCCCCAGACAGGAAAGAGGGCCUAGUCAGAAUGGGUGGAGGCGGCGAGAGAAUCAGUUUAAGCCACUGAGCGCUCUAAUCAGCCAGACGCAGAGGGUCCAACAGCCGCUCAGGAAAGCCCGUCCCCAGAUGGACCCAAAAGGGUGGGGACUGCGGUGGCUGACCUCUGGUACUCUCGUGCACUUCCGGCCCCUCUACCCAGAGGCCUUUGUGGUAGAGAGGAUUCUGUCUGCACUGCUGCAGCGCUCGAGGGCGUGGUCUGUAGCAACCUGGCGGGAUCGAGCUCACUGCGCAGUUGGGUGGCGGUGAGAUCAAAGAAUCUCGCGUGAAGACUUGGGUGCUUCCAACUUUCCUCAGACCAAUUCACCCCUUUCUUGCUGCCUGCCCUCAGCAGGCACCAGCUUCGCCUGUGGAUCUUUUUACCUCCAUUUAUAAUCCUUCCAUUCACCAUCCACUCACCAUGCAUGCAUGCAUGCAUCCACCCACCCAAAUAACCAUUCAUUUUUCAUCCAUCAUAGGCAUGCAUAACCCAUCAAUCCAUUUAUCCAUCCAUUUUCAUCUAUCCACGUUAUAGGAACAAAAAAAUGAGUAAGGCAUGAUUGUUCCUUCAAGGAGUAUAGAGUUAUAGGCGAGCGGUCAUCCUUCACCCAACGUUCACAAGGUUUAUUUUUUUCUUUUUUUAACUUGACCCUCAGUAAGAAUUACAUUGCACGUACUGAUCCAAUAUAGACUUGCACAUAUAUGACGGAAACAAAAUUGGCGGAAAUUGUUCUUUUCCUUAGGGCGUUCAAGUCACUCUGAUAUGUUCUGUUUUACUUCAAUAAGAUGCUGUUCAACACCCGUUGGAGUGAUUGCACCCCUCAAUAAUUGGUCACUUUGGUUUGAGGAACUCCACCUGCCCUAAUGGAAACUUCAACGAGCCCUGGAUCCCUUCCUUUCCCUCUCUGGGCCCAAGCUUGGACUCUUAAGUCCCACAGAGCAAGAAUGGUAAACGUGCUAUUCAACAUUGUACACAUAGCUCCUCUGUCAUAGUGCCGAACAUAUAGCAGGUACUCCCUACAUAUCUGCUGAGUAAAUAAAUGGAACCCAACAAA